rnacentral:misc_RNA from 1 species
AAGGAUCAUUAUCGAAUAAACUUGAAUAGGCUGUUGCUGGUCCCAGGACGAUGUGCACAUUUGUCAUCUUUAUCAUUUCUCCCAACGGUGCACGUAUUGUAGACCCUGGAUGGAGGUUUUGGAUUCAUUCCGAGUGGGGACUGCUGUGCUUCCGAAGAGAGGUCGGCUUUCCCUUUUCAUCCUCCAGGUCUAUGUCAUUUCCUUUCACAACCUUCCAUGUCUAGAAUGUUGAGUCAAGAUCCUUUUUGUACCUAUAAAAAAAGUUAUACAACUUUCAGCAACGGAUCUCUUGGCUCUC